rnacentral:tRNA from 1 species
GGGGCUAUAGCUCAGUUGGGAGAGCGCUUGCAUGGCAUGCAAGAGGUCGUCGGUUCGAUCCCGUCUAGCUCCACCA